AUUGAACGCUGGCGGCAGGCCUAACACAUGCAAGUCGAGCGGAGCGGCGGACGGGCGAGUAAUGCCUAGGAAUCUGCCUGGCAGUGGGGGAUAACGUCCGGAAACGGGCGCUAAUACCGCCUACUAUCAGAUGAGCCCAGAUGUGAUUAGCUAGUAGGUGGGUUAACGGCUCACCUAGGUGACGAUCCCUCGCUGGCCGGAGAGGAUGACCAGCCACACUGGAACUGAGACACGGUCCAGACUCCUACGGGAGGCAGCAGUGGGGAAUAUUGCACAAUGGGCGCAAGCCUGAUGCAGCCAUGCCGCGUGUGUGAAGAAGGCCUUCGGGUUGUAAAGCACUUUCAGCGGGGAGGCGUUACCCGCAGAAGAAGCACCGGCUAACUCCGUGCCAGCCGCCGCGGUAAUUC
rnacentral:rRNA from 1 species